AUUCUGAUUCCUGCAGGAGCAUUCGACCCGUUGCUUUAUGCAUCGAUUACUUUCAGAUUUUUGGGCUUAAAUUUGGUGGGACACAGCACUAUGCAGUGUUCAACUUUGAUGAGACUAAUGUUAGAUGAGCCAUCAAUUUUGUUUUAUCUUUCCGUAGUGAAGUUAUGUUCCUAGCCUUCUUUUAUUUUUGAGUGGCUGUAUUUUAUAUGCUUCACUUGUGCGUCUACUGGUGUGUGUGUUUGUGUUAUAGCUGAACCACAAAAAAGUUGUUCCUUUAAUUUUCUUAAUAGUUUAUAUAAUUUGAACUCUAUUCAUAUUAUGGGUUUUCUGACAAAAAUGCUUUCAAUUAUGCAUCUUUUUGGUUGACAAAAAUGUGUUUGGGUUGCAUUCUGUAAACUAAAUAUCUGUACUACUAUUAACGUGGUAUCACUUUGGUCUAGCAAAACCAUCAUUAUGUGACAUGAAGUCCUUUUGAAACUUUUAGUUCAUUAUUCUCCUUAUCUAGACUGAAUUGUUUUUCUCAAAAUCCACUUCUCUGAAAUGAUAUGAACAAUGGGAAUUCAUCGACAACAUCUUUUUGACCUCAAGGUGGUGUUGACGGGGUGCACAUGUUUAUACCUUCGCUUUCACUGUUCUAAUCUUGGAGACAGAAUGCAUUUUUCUCGUUUUUUCUCUCUUGAUUUUUGCUUUUAUUAGCUGCUGAAGUGAACCAUCUUUUGGAAUCUGUGGUUGUCUUAGGUACUGGUCCUUUUGAAAUUUAGUACAGUGCUUUAUUUUGUUACAGCUGAGGUUAUGGCAGGAUCAACAGCAUGGUUGGGUCGAGGUCUUUCUUGUGUAUGUGCUCAGAGUAGAGAGAGUGAUGCUUGUCCAUCAUUUGAUUUAACUCCUUCCCA